rnacentral:lncRNA from 13 species
CCAGAUUCACCCAUGGAGGUGGUCAGCUUCUAAAAUCUGCCUUCUGCUUGGAUGCAAAAAGCAGCUAAUGGAUGCCAGGCAGGUAUUAUUAUUGUCUCCAUGUGACAGUAAAAUAAAUGAAGUCCAAAGAGUUUGAGUGACCAGCU